rnacentral:tRNA from 1 species
CAGGGCGUGGUGCAGUUUGGUAGCAUACCUGUUUUGGGAACAGGAGGUCGUUGGUUCAAAUCCAGUCGCCCUGA